CAAAACUCACAUUUCCAGGUACGUUUGGAAACUAAACCACUCAACUCAUCUCAACUCAUCAUUACAAAUUUUUUAAAUUUCAACACAAAAUAUAAUAAACAAUUCAACUUUUUCAAAUUUCAAAAUAAUAAUAAUAUUAAAAAAUAAUAUUUUAAUAAUAU